rnacentral:hammerhead_ribozyme from 1 species
AUCCGGGUGACGAGUCCCAAAUAGGACGAAAUGCGCAUCCCGGAU